UGCCCCUGAUUUGCCUAUACUGUGCAUGUUAAGAAUGAACCCAGGGUAUCCUAUUUGGUAUUUAGAACUUAAACACAUGUCUCAUAUAUUCAUAUGAAUUUUAUACUUUACAUUAUAAAGUGCCCUUCUUGUCACACUCAAUUUUUUUUUUUUUUUUUUUUUUUUGGUGAGGAGUGUCUGAAUUUCAUCUUGUUUGGUAAGACGAAUGUGACCUCUGCUUCCCUUUUGUUUGCCUUCUCUUGUUAUGUCUUUGCCCAUCAUCUUAUUUGUUGAAAAUAAUGAAUACAUCUUUCUGAGUGGCUUUAUGUUAGGUGUCUUUUGCAUAUUGCAAAUAAUAGAGUUUUUAUCUUAAUCUAAUUUAAAAAUAUUUUCAUUUAUUUAGUUCAGUUAAGAAGCCCAUUUAUAAUUAUUCAUACAGCAAAUAGAUUCAGUCUAAUUCAGAGAUAUUAACUUCUGUUAAGUAUAAUGUUUACAUGAGUAUUUUUAAAAAUCUUUCACUAUGUCUUUAUUGUGCAUUUUAAAAAUUUUACCUUUUCAGAUAUUAAGGAAGGUGUAUAUUUCAAGGUUGCUUUGAUAAGUUUAUUUGUAUAUAAUACACUUAGUUCCCUCUUCCUUUAGAUAAUUCCUAUUAGUUUUAAAUAAUGAACAAUCACAAAACUAGCUCAUAUCCUCUCCCUUCCUCUUUCUGUGUGUGUGUCUACCUUUGUAGUCUUAAAUGUGUAAAUACGAGCACUUGAUUUAUUAGUUUUAAAGAAUAUAUUUUGAUUCCUAGAUGUUACAGACAAGAACAUCAACAGGCUUAUUUGAUAUCCUUAUUCAUUUUUCCACUUAUUCUAUAAUCAUUGAGAAAUGUGUUUCAAUUUCUCAAUUAAUUUCUUCCUAUAAUUCUCCUAUAUUUCUUACAUAUUUUGUAGUUUUAUUGCUAGGUGCAAACUGAUUCAGUUUUAGUAUAAUGUUCUGGUGACUUCAUUAUCACUAUGUAAUGGCUGUCUUUGUUUUUACUAAUGCCUUUGGUUUUAGACUAUAUGUUUAGAUAUUUCUGUAAUUACAUAAGCUGUCUUUCUGUCUUCUGUUAGUGUUUGCUUUGUGUAUCUUAUAUCUGGUUUUGAUUUAACAUUUUCAUGUUUUUAGGUUUCUUGUGAUCUUAUGAAGGGCAUAUAACUGGAUUUUGCGAUAUUGUUAAUCUAAUCUGAGAACUUUCCUUUAACUCCCAUAUUUAAGCUAUUUAUACUUGUGAUCACUGUGCUAUUUACAUUCGUUUCUGUUACAAUAUAUGGUGCUCUGUAUUUGCUAUGUCUUACUUUGCUUCUUUUGUUUUCCUUGCAUCACUUAUAUUAAAUCAAUUACAUUUUUAUUUAAAGUAUUAUUUAAUUUCCCCUUACUGAUUUAGGAAUUUUAAAUUCUAAUUAUAUUAGUUAAAAGUCAGUCUUAUAUUUUUAACAUGUUUACCAAAUGUGGCAGCAUCUGAAGGUAAUCAAUAUCUCUACCCUCCUUUCAAACAAGACAAAGACUUUAGGUGCUUUAACUUUGUCUGCCUCAUUCUCAUGUCACUUGUGGUUGCUCUGCCUUAUUUUUAAAUUUAAUAGUCAUUUUUAUUACUGAUUUUUAUCGUUACAGUCAUAUUUCAUUUCUCAUUCUGAUUUUCCAAUAUUUUAGACAGAUUUGUUAUUGUUGUUUGUGUGUGUGUUUAUUUUUCUCAUCUUUGCUCC
rnacentral:lncRNA from 1 species